rnacentral:rRNA from 1 species
AACGAACGCUGGCGGCAUGCCUAACACAUGCAAGUCGAACGAGACCUUCGGGUCUAGUGGCGCACGGGUGCGUAACGCGUGGGAACCUGCCCUUAGGUUCGGAAUAACUCCCCGAAAGGGGUGCUAAUACCGGAUAAUGUCUUCGGACCAAAGAUUUAUCGCCUUUGGAUGGGCCCGCGUUGGAUUAGCUAGUUGGUAGGGUAAAAGCCUACCAAGGCGACGAUCCAUAGCUGGUCUGAGAGGAUGAUCAGCCACACUGGGACUGAGACACGGCCCAGACUCCUACGGGAGGAAGCAGUGGGGAAUAUUGGACAAUGGGCGAAAGCCUGAUCCGGCAAUGCCGCGUGAGUGAUGAAGGCCUUAGGGUUGUAAAGCUCUUUUACCCGGGAUGAUAAUGACAGUACCGGGAGAAUAAGCUCCGGCUAACUCCGUG